CCUACGGGAGGCAGCAGUGGGGAAUUUUGGACAAUGGGGGCAACCCUGAUCCAGCCAUGCCGCGUGAGUGAAGAAGGCCUUCGGGUUGUAAAGCUCUUUCGGCCGGGAAGAAAUCGCUCAAGCUAAUACCUUGGGUGGAUGACGGUACCGGAAGAAGAAGCACCGGCUAACUACGUGCCAGCAGCCGCGGUAAU
rnacentral:rRNA from 1 species